GGGGGAUUCGUUCAGUGGCAGGACGUCGGUCUCCAAAACCGAUAACGAGGGUUCGAUUCCUUCAUCCCCCGCCA
rnacentral:tRNA from 1 species